rnacentral:rRNA from 1 species
UGGGGAAUUUUUGGCAAUGGGGGCAACCCUGACCAAGCAACGCCGCGUGGGUGAUGAAGUCUCUUGGGACGUAAAACCCUUUCGACGGGGAAGAAAACCGCAAGGUUUGACGGUACCCGUAGAAGAAGCCCCGGCUAACUCCGUGCCAGCAGCCGCGGUAAUACGGGGGGGGCAAGCGUUGUUCGGAAUUACUGGGCGUAAAGGGCGCGUAGGCGGCUCGUUAAGUCGGAUGUGAAAACUCUGGGCUCAACCCAGAGCCUGCAUCCGAAACUGGCGGGCUAGAGUUCUGGAGGGGGUAGCGGAAUUCCUGGUGUAGCGGUGAAAUGCGUAGAUAUCAGGAGGAACACCGGUGGCGAAGGCGGCUACCUGGACAGAAACUGACGCUGAGGCGCGAAAGCUAGGGGAGCAAACAG